GAUGAACUGUGGGUAGCGGAGAAAUUCCAAUCGAACCCGGAGAUAGCUGGUUCUCUCCGAAAUAGCUUUAGGGCUAGCCUUGAAAUAGAUUACCGGAGGUAAAGCACUGAAUUGGCUAGGGGCCGAGAGGUUACUGAACCUUAUCAAACUAAGAAUGCCGGAUAAUCGUUUUUCAGGAGUCAGACAGUGGGAGAUAAGUUUCAUUGUCAAAAGGGAAACAGCCCAGACCCACAGCUAAGGUCCCCAAGUAUAGUUAAGUGGAAAAGGAUGUGGAAUUGCACAGACAACCAGGAUGUUGGCUUAGAAGCAGCCACUCAUUAAAAGAGUGCGUAAUAGCUCACUGGUCGAGUGACUCUGCGCCGAAAAUUUAACGGGGCUAAACUAUACACCGAAGCUUGGGAUACAUCUAAUGUAUGGUAGGAGAGCGUUCUGUAUGGGGAGAAGUCGUAGCGAAAGCGGCGGUGGACUAUACAGAAGUGAGAAUGCCGGAAUAAGUAGCGAGAAUUAAGUGAGAAUCUUAAUGGCCGAAAGUCUAAGGUUUUUGGAGGAAGGUUCGUCCGCUCCAAGUAAGUCGGGAGCUAAGGUCAGGCCGAAAGGCGUAGCCGAUGCACAUACGGUUGAUAUUCCGUAACCAUCUGUAAUUUAAGCAAAGGGACACUUCAAAAGGGUGUGACCCGGGCGUUGGUUGACCCGGGCGUAAGGGACCGAAAUUAGAGUAGGGAAGCACACUUAGCUGAAGGCGAGAAAAGCUUUGCGUAUAGAAACAGAUGCCCGUACCGCAAACCGACACAGGUGGACAGGAAGAGAAUUCUAAGGCCAGCGGGAGAAGGGUAGUUAAGGAACUCGGCAAAUUGACUCCGUAACUUCGGAAUAAGGAGUGCUCGAAAGAGCCGCAGAGAAUAGGCCCAGGCGACUGUUUAGCAAAAACACAGGUCUCUGCCAAAUCGAAAGAUGAAGUAUAGGGGCUGACACCUGCCCGGUGCCGGAAGGUUAAGAGGAGGAGUGAGAGCUCCGAAUUGAAGCCCCGGUAAACGGCGGCCGUAACUAUAACGGUCCUAAGGUAGCGAAAUUCCUUGUCGGGUAAGUUCCGACCCGCACGAAUGGUGUAACGAUCUGGGCACUGUCUCAACUACCCACCCGGCGAAAUUGUAGUACCGGUGAAGAUGCCGGUUACCUGCGGCAAGACGGAAAGACCCCAUGGAGCUUUACUGUAGCCUGAUAUUGGGUUUCGGAAAUCUAUGUACAGGAUAGGCGGGAGACUGGGAAACAUGAGCGUCAGCUUGUGUGGAGUCGAUGUUGGGAUACCGCCCUUAGGUUUCUGGAAUUCUAACCUGCGGCCGUGAAACCGGUCGGGGGACAUUGUCAGGUGGGCAGUUUGACUGGGGCGGUCGCCUCCGAAAAGGUAACGGAGGCGCUCAAAGGUUAGCUCAGCACGGACGGAAACCGUGCCUCUGAGUGUAAACGCAAAAGCUAGCCUAACUGCGAGGGUGACGGCCCGAGCAGUAACGAAAGUUGGAGUUAGUGAUCCGGCGGUAUGUGAAUGGAAAUGCCGUCGCUCAACGGAUAAAAGCUACCCUGGGGAUAACAGGCUGAUCUCCCCCAAGAGUCCACAUCGACGGGGAGGUUUGGCACCUCGAUGUCGGCUCAUCACAUCCUGGGGCUGUAUUCGGUCCCAAGGGUUCGGCUGUUCGCCGAUUAAAGUGGUACGCGAGCUGGGUUCAGAACGUCGCGAGACAGUUCGGUCCCUAUCUGUCGUGGGCGCAGGAUAUUUGAGGAGCUCUGUCCUUAGUACGAGAGGACCGGGAUGGACGUACCUCUGGUGCACCAGUUGUCAUGCCAAUGGCACGGCUGGGCAGCUAUGUACGGAACGGAUAAACGCUGAAAGCAUCUAAGCGUGAAGCCGACUCCAAGAUUAGAUAUCCCAUCGUAUAACGAGUAAGACCCCUUGAAGACUACGAGGUUGAUAGGCUGCGUGUGUAAGUGCCGUGAGGCAUUCAGCUUGGCAGUACUAAUAGGUCGAGGGCUUGACCAC
rnacentral:rRNA from 1 species